rnacentral:rRNA from 1 species
UACGUAGGGUGCAAGCGUUAAUCGGAAUUACUGGGCGUAAAGCGUGCGCAGGCGGUUCGCUAAGACCGAUGUGAAAUCCCCGGGCUUAACCUGGGAACUGCAUUGGUGACUGGCGGGCUAGAGUAUGGCAGAGGGGGUAGAAUUCCACGUGUAGCAGUGAAUGCGUAGAGAUGUGGAGGAAUACCGAUGGCGAAGGCAGCCCCUGGCCAAUACUGACGCUCAUGC